AGGACGAACGCUGGCGGCAUGCCUAAUACAUGCAAGUCGAGCGAACAGAUGAAGUGCUUGCACUUCUGACGUUAGCGGCGAACGGGUGAGUAACACGUAAGGAAUCUACCUAUAAGCGGGGGAUAACAUUCGGAAACGGGUGCUAAUACCGCAUAAUAUCUUCUUCCGCAUGGAAGAAGAUUGAAAGACGGCUCUGCUGUCACUUAUAGAUGACCUUGCGGUGCAUUAGUUAGUUGGUGGGGUAACGGCCUACCAAGACGAUGAUGCAUAGCCGACCUGAGAGGGUGAUCGGCCACAUUGGGACUGAGACACGGCCCAAACUCCUACGGGAGGCAGCAGUAGGGAAUCUUCCGCAAUGGGCGAAAGCCUGACGGAGCAAUGCCGCGUGAGUGAAGAAGGCCUUCGGGUCGUAAAACUCUGUUAUAAGAGAAGAACAAAUUGUAGAGUAACUGCUACAGUCUUGACGGUAUCUUAUCAGAAAGCCACGGCUAACUACGUGCCAGCAGCCGCGGUAAUACGUAGGUGGCAAGCGUUGUCCGGAUUUAUUGGGCGUAAAGGGAGCGCAGGUGGUUUCUUAAGUCUGAUGUGAAAGCCCACGGCUUAACCGUGGAGGGUCAUUGGAAACUGGGAAACUUGAGUACAGAAGAGGAAUGUGGAACUCCAUGUGUAGCGGUGGAAUGCGUAGAUAUAUGGAAGAACACCAGUGGCGAAGGCGACAUUCUGGUCUGUUACUGACACUGAGGCUCGAAAGCGUGGGGAGCAAACAGGAUUAGAUACCCUGGUAGUCCACGCCGUAAACGAUGAGUGCUAGGUGUUGGAGGGUUUCCGCCCUUCAGUGCCGCAGUUAAC
rnacentral:rRNA from 2 species